ACACUCCUACGGGAGGCAGCAGUGGGGAAUAUUGCACAAUGGGCGCAAGCCUGAUGCAGCCAUGCCGCGUGUAUGAAGAAGGCCUUCGGGUUGUAAAGUACUUUCAGCGGGGAGGAAGGCGAUAAGGUUAAUAACCUUGUCGAUUGACGUUACCCGCAGAAGAAGCACCGGCUAACUCCGUGCCAGCAGCCGCGGUAAUACGGAGGGUGCAAGCGUUAAUCGGAAUUACUGGGCGUAAAGCGCACGCAGGCGGUCUGUCAAGUCGGAUGUGAAAUCCCCAGGCUCAACCUGGGAACUGCAUUCGAAACUGGCAGGCUAGAGUCUUGUAGAGGGGGGUAGAAUUCCAGGUGUAGCGGUGAAAUGCGUAGAGAUCUGGAGGAAUACCGGUGGCGAAGGCGGCCCCCUGGACAAAGACUGACGCUCAGGUGCGAAAGCGUGGGGAGCAAACAGGAUUAGAAACCCGAGUAGUCCC
rnacentral:rRNA from 1 species